rnacentral:tRNA from 1 species
GAGGGUAGAGCUCAGUGGUAGAGUACCAUGGUCAGCAUGCACGAGGCCCUGGGUUCAAUUCCCAGUGCCUCCA